rnacentral:rRNA from 1 species
UACGGGGGGAGCAAGCGUUGUUCGGAUUUAUUGGGCGUAAAGAGCUCGUAGGCGGUUUGUUGCGUCGGCUGUGAAAUCCCGAGGCUCAACCUCGGGUCUGCAGUCGAUACGAGCAAACUAGAGUGUUGCAGGGGAGACUGGAAUUCCUGGUGUAGCGGUGAAAUGCGCAGAUAUCAGGAGGAACACCGGUGGCGAAGGCGGGUCUCUGGGCAACAACUGACGCUGAGGAGCGAAAGCGUGGGGAGCGAACAGG